rnacentral:rRNA from 1 species
AGUCGAACGAUGAACCACUUCGGUGGGGAUUAGUGGCGAACGGGUGAGUAACACGUGGGCAAUCUGCCCUUCACUCUGGGACAAGCCCUGGAAACGGGGUCUAAUACCGGAUAACACUUCCACUCUCCUGAGUGGUGGUUAAAAGCUCCGGCGGUGAAGGAUGAGCCCGCGGCCUAUCAGCUUGUUGGUGAGGUAAUGGCUCACCAAGGCGACGACGGGUAGCCGGCCUGAGAGGGCGACCGGCCACACUGGGACUGAGACACGGCCCAGACUCCUACGGGAGGCAGCAGUGGGGAAUAUUGCACAAUGGGCGAAAGCCUGAUGCAGCGACGCCGCGUGAGGGAUGACGGCCUUCGGGUUGUAAACCUCUUUCAGCAGGGAAGAAGCGAAAGUGACGGUACCUGCAGAAGAAGCGCCGGCUAACUACGUGCCAGCAGCCGCGGUAAUACGUAGGGCGCAAGCGUUGUCCGGAAUUAUUGGGCGUAAAGAGCUCGUAGGCGGCUUGUCACGUCGGGUGUGAAAGCCCGGGGCUUAACCCCGGGUCUGCAUUCGAUACGGGCUAGCUAGAGUGUGGUAGGGGAGAUCGGAAUUCCUGGUGUAGCGGUGAAAUGCGCAGAUAUCAGGAGGAACACCGGUGGCGAAGGCGGAUCUCUGGGCCAUUACUGACGCUGAGGAGCGAAAGCGUGGGGAGCGAACAGGAUUAGAUACCCUGGUAGUCCACGCCGUAAACGGUGGGAACUAGGUGUUGGCGACAUUCCACGUCGUCGGUGCCGCAGCUAACGCAUUAAGUUCCCCGCCUGGGGAGUACGGCCGCAAGGCUAAAACUCAAA